GAUGAAGAACGUAGCGAAAUGCGAUAAGUAAUGUGAAUUGCAGAAUUCAGUGAAUCAUCGAAUCUUUGAACGCACAUUGCGCCCGCCAGCACUCUGACGGGCAUGCCUGUUCGAGCGUCAUUUCAACCAUCAAGCCCCCAGGGGCUUGUGCUGGGGCCCUGCGGCUGCCCGCAGGCCCUGAAAACCAGUGGCGGGCUCGCUAGUCACACCGAGCGCAGUAGCACAUCUCGCUCAGGGCGUGCGGCGGGCUCCUGCCGUGAAACCCCCCACUGUAACCCCAAAGGUUGACCUCGGAUCAGGUAGGAAUACCCGCUGAACUUAAGCAUAUCAAUAAGCGGAGGA
rnacentral:misc_RNA from 1 species